rnacentral:snRNA from 1 species
AUGCUUGCUUUGGCAGGAUAUAUACGAAAAUUGGAACAAUACAAAGAUGAUUAGCAUGGCCUUUGUGAAAGGGUGAUACACAAAUUCAUGAAGAAUUCCAUAUGUUU